UGUUCUUGCCAUAUUCACAGUUGAGCACUUCUAUAUCCUUAAUCUGAAGGGAAAAAAACACAUGCUAUAGUUGUAACUCAGAACUCAGCAGAGGCAUUAGUUACACUUAGGCAGUGAAACAUAAGCAACGUUUAUUGUUUUAUUUCUGUGAUUACCUGUGAUAAUGAAAAUAUUUCCAAGUUCUGAUAGAAGGAUAAAUGCUUUGAGAUGUCUUUAUGAGUAGCAGCUAUGACAGACUUUAAAACGUUUCUUGGAGGGCAGAUCUUUUAGCAAAUCGUACGCGGAGCUGCAGGGGCACUGAAGCAAAGCUUCAGUGCAGGGCAGGCAGGUGGCUUUGUGAGCAGGCACAACUCCCAAACAAAGAAUGAAAGCAGCUGUCAUGUUCUUGAUGACUUUUGUUUUCUGUUGCCCCAUCUGUGCAUGUUGUGGUUCCCGAGAGAAAGAAGGAAAGAAGGGCCGGGCUGGGCUGGUUGAAAGGGUUUUGUUGCAACCGGAUUCCUGGUUGCUCAUGAAAGGGAUCAGAAGCAAGUCUGAGCAGCAAAAUUCAGCUCUCAAUUCACACUUCUACAAUCCUGGCUUUCUGGGAUCAUUGUUUUUGUUUGCGCUAAGCCCUAAUUGCUUUCAUCCUGCUUUGGUCAGACGCAGUCCAACUUGCACAGCUUCUGCCGUGCUGGAGACACUGCAAUGGGAGGGAAGGAAAAAUACUGUAGGGUCAUGGGGUUUUCUUUUCUGCUAAAACAUCCAGUGCUGACUGCAAUAGACUUUCCCUGAGGCUGACUCGUCCCGUACCUGAUAUUAACUUAUUCCAGUGCAAGUGUAAUGGGAAAGGAGACGAGAAUAUUUUCAAGACUAGGUUCAAUUCAGACUUUGUUCCUAAGAUAAAUGCUAGUGCAUUUAAAAGGGAAUUUAAAAACCUUACUAACCAACUGGAAGUAAAUUGCUAUGGCUCAGAGGCUUUUGUUGCUGUCAGUCCCUGCAAAUGGACGUUCAGUGCCCAUGGGCAAAUGGAGGAACAGAGCUGAACUGGGGGCUUUGCAACCGGGAAUGAUGCAAAGGCUGAGCUCACUGCAGAGGCUGCAUGGAAAAGCAGAGAGGAGAAAGUGGGUUUGGUUUGCUUGUCUGAAAACUGAGCUUUUUCGGGUAGUUGUACAAGAUUGACGAGUUUCACGUGUCCGUUCUUCUGCCCGGAUUGACGCGCGCGAGCUUCUAGCCGAUGCUGGGGGCGUUCACAGGCAGCCUGAGGAAACGCAGGCGACUUCUGUUUUCGGAGCCUGCCCUGCGCUCACUGUGCCACGCGCCGAGAUGACUGCGAGCUGUGCGUGGCGCGGCCCUACUCUGCUGCUGCUGCUCUUCUCCCCAGCCCUGUCGGCAGUGGAGAUUUCCUGCAGGAACGAAGACGGGGAGGCAGUGGACUGGUUUGCUCUGUACAAGCUGCCAAAGCACACCAAAGGAGAUGGCACAGGGCUGGGCCUGGAGUACCUGUACAUGGACAGCCUAGCGCAGCAGUGGCAGCCUGGCAGGUACCUUGUCAACAUGACACAGAGUGCUCUGGGACAGACACUGGGGCAGCUCUACAAAGCAUACGAGUCCAAGAGGAACAACACUGUGUAUGCAAUCUAUAACGAUGAGGUCCCUCAUUCAGGCUCCAUCAGCUCUAAAAAAGGACACACCAAAGGGUUUCUGCUCUUGGACAAAUCACAAGGCUUCUGGGUGAUCCACAGCGUGCCCUUGUUCCCCCCCUUUCCCGAAGAUGGCUAUGGUUACCCAGCCAGUGGGGAGUUCUACGGACAGACAGCCAUGUGCAUAACCUUCACAUAUGAGCAGUUCAUAGAAAUAGACCAACAGAUGCUGAGCUCUAAUCCAGAAAUCUACAGCUGCUCCCUCCCUGAUACCUUCCAAGCCGAUCUCCCAAACCUUCAAAAGCUUUGUGCAGGCUCCAAGCUGCCCUCAGGCCCCCUGCGCCGCCUCUCCAAGCUGCAGUCGGCACGUGGAGAAGCCUUUCUCCACUUUGCAAAGUCUAGUUCUUUUGUGGAUGAUAUCUACGUGGCCUGGGUGGCUCAGGAACUGAAGACUGAUUUGUUGGCUGAAUCCUGGCAGCACUCUGGCCAAAAGCUUCCCUCAAACUGCUCUCUCCAGUACUACGUCUACAACGUAAAUCUCAUAGGGACGCCACUGAAUUCCACCUUCCAUUCGAUCCAGGAUCACUCCAAAUGGUCUGUUUCAAUGAAGGAUGAAGUUCAGUGGACCUGCAUUGGAGACCUAAACCGUGCUGCUGAGCAAGCUUGGAGGAGUGACACUGACCCAACUGGCCUGACCUCUUGCAUCUUGCCCACAGCAUCACAUGUUCGUGUACAGGACGUACAGGAACAACAAGGAGACCUUCACUGGAAUCAGCUCAGAGCUCAACAGCAUGGAGUCUUCAUCCCAAUGCUGACACAGUGGUGUGUCACAGUCCUGCUCCCCAGACCUGUCCCUUGACUGUAAGUGCUAAUUGGUAUCCUUAAUUAUUUGUUCAAUUGGUAGAUAUCAUAGAGCCAAGACUGUUCACAGCAUUUCUCUUCCAGUGUGCUCCAGACUGAUUGCCUCCCUGUCAGCAUCUACUAAAGAGGCGUAAACAGUAGUGGGAAGAUGGAAAGAAGCCCUGUACCCUACACUGCCUAAGUAGGUUGGGCACACACUAAUUUCAGUGGUGUAGCAAUAAAAAGGCUGCAGUUCUGGUUCUUAUUUUUUCUGUCUGUAAACAGUUUUAAUGUAGUUUUCCUUUCAUUGCAUAAUGUCCGUAUUUGCAUAUCUCCCAGUAUUUCCAUUACGCACAUUAUGAAACAUGGGUAGAUGCUCUUUUUCCCAAAAAAGACCUGUGAUCAGCAAUCUGAACUUCUGGAUUUUUGAAUGGCCUGUAUCUGUCAGGCCAGCCGUGUGACAUCAGGGCCACAUCCCCUUGCUCAAACCUACAUGCCGUCAUAGCACACGCUGUCGCUGGUGUGAAGUAUUUUUGCAUAUUUUUACAAGAGUUUAAUUUAAAAGGUGCUAUUCUUUAUCAAAACGUCAAACACUUCACAGCUUUACCUGCUGAGCCCUCUGUGCCCGUGGAGGAGGGCAUGCAGCACAGCCCCUGGGAAGGGACCUGGUGAGCCACACUGCAGCUGCAGAAGGGCAGAAGAGAUGGAUACAGCAUGGAGAGAGCAGAAGGCUCUUCUCCUUCUGGAAUCCCCAUGUCUCAUCCCCUUGUUGCAUAAGUAUGGCUAUUCUGACCCUUGGGCUCCGUUCUGGUUAGACUAAAUGAGAAUAUUAUGCAUGAAAACUUUUAUGCAUGAGAGGCCAAAACUCACAUUAUUAAUCCACUAAACCUUGCUGUAAGACAGGGGAGUUUGCAACAACCACAACAGCAGAUAUAAUUAUUGAGUAGGAAUGGCCUUCUAAUUACUUAGACAAGAUGAGGCCCUGUACCAGCAGCCCCACAAGUGCUCCAGUGACAGGAAAUGCAAACAUGGCCUCUUGCAAUGCCUGCUUCGGCCUUCCCCACCCACCCGCCACUCUCACAUGUCCCCAUCACCACAGGAAACCAAGCCUGAUGGGUUUUACUGUCUGCCCCUCAGGAUUCUCCUGCAACACCAGCGGCUGGGAAUCCCUCAGGUAGUGGCUUGGUGAGCAAUUUUAUACAGAUGUAAAGGGAAGAGGCCAUCUAAAGAAUGAGAUGAUAGGCUUACUAAGACAAAAGCUAAAAUACUGGGAAGGUGUUAAAACCUAACCUGUGUGAAGUUUCAUUCCAGCUGGGCAGUUACUCCACUGGAAAGCAGGCAGAGGCAUCCAGCCAGAGGCCAUUUCACAGGGCGUCUUUAUGGAGGCAUUUCUCCAGGUGUCUCCACAAGGACUUAAAACACCUUGAAGCCUAGCAAUGGGAGCCAUCCCUUCCACCAGUGUGCUGGGGAUCUUCUCAAGGACCUUAUGUUCCAUGUCAGCUGCCUGCCAGCCAGCAAAGGGAACAUUUGGGAGAAAUUGCUCUGACCUAGCUGGGAACCUUCCCUUCUUCAAGGCAUGCUAAUGAAGCCUGACACUGGACUUGUCAUAAAGGCCUGCGGGUCUAUUUCUGAAACACAGCAAAGUCAGCUUCAAAGUUGGCUAGACUAGUUUUUAGAAGUACCAAAGUCUGCAAAGCUGUGGAUGUUUUGUCCAUCCAACUGCCAGCAAUGCCCCUUCUUUCAGUUGUAACCCAUGCCUCUCCCACUUGUGCAGUGGCUCACGACAGUAUUUCACCAGCAGUUUGCUGUUUGCACCUUUCUGCUCUCAAAACAAGAAGUUUCCAGCAAAUGCCUCUAAACAUCAGUUCUUACAUUGAACAGUGUCUUCUUGGCAUGCCUGCGGUGUUAAGAGAAUGGGCUAUUUUUGAGAAGACAUACAGAGUAUGUAUAUAUAUGCCCUCCUGACAGUCCUGAAAUGCUAAAGAAGACCAUUCUUUUUUUUAAUGUAUCAAAGCAUCUUCUGCAUUAUUAGCGUGGUCACAUAAUUAUCCCCAGAGAAACUUACACCCAUACAUUAACACCCAUAAAUUAUUGUGUAGAUGUCUUUUAUACCUUCAUUUUCAGCUUCUGGGAAAGAUACAUCAUUGGAUACUUAGCACAGUAAUUGCUUUCAAACAUGUAAGCUGCCUAUGCCUUGGGUAAAAUGUUCAGGAGGCAGAGAUGUGCUGGCAGGGUCUGCUACAACCUCAGUGCAAGCCAAAGCCUAACUGUGCUCAGAAUGUGAUGCAAGAAUAUGAUGCACUUUUCAUAUUACACAAGAGAUUUAAAAAACAAAAAAAAACAAAAAAACCAACAAAUUUAAAGAUGAGAAUGUAAAGGAAAUGAAUUUGUAUUAGGCAAAGCACGGGAAUACAUUCUCCAUAGUGUGGGGCAGAGAGCCAGAUCUCAGAUUUCAAGCUAGGGUAUCAGUCUUUGAUAGCCUGAUACCCUGAACAUAUAUGAACAUAUAUAUGAACAAUAACUGUAUCUGACACUUUCCUAUUCGAUCAGAUAUACCAGAUUAAAAGCCUGCUCUGUUGAAUAUUCUCAGAAUUCUUCAGCAGUAAAAGCUGCUGCGAGUGGCAUCUGAAGCCAUUGUCUUUCAGAUUUUGGCAUCAGGAGGUAGUUUGUAAUACAAUUUUUUAAUGCUUACUUACUGUUUUUAAAUUAUUUGUUCCAGUAUUAUAUGCAUAUUUGAUAAUUUAAUUUUACUCAAAUUGUUAAGUACAAAACAUUAGGAUUUGAAAUAUAUACAUUGAUUCUUAAGCAACUGUUACAUUUUUAUUCGAAUAAAUCCCCUUGAUUUUAUUUUUUUCAGUUGAGUUCAAGUAUCAUUUUUACAUGAGGUAAUUGGUGGCCAUUCUGCAUCAUCUGCAAAUCAGGCAAAAGCAAGGAACAUCUUUCCCCUCCUUUCACCAUUUUGCAGCCUAAGAGCUGCAAGCUAAAAAUUAAAUAUUCAAAACUUUACCAGAGCAGGACAGAGUGUUCAGUGUGACCUGCUGGAGUGCUCGUGGUUGCUGCAAGCAGUUCACUGUAGUACACUUGUCCUAGCAUUGCAUAAUUUAUUAAUCAUAGAAAUUGUGCAUGCAAAUCAGCCACACUGUUGUGCUUCAUCAUAUGCUAACUAGUAUAUUUGUUUUUACGUGCAUUAAAGCCCUCAGAUAAUAAAGUCUCAUUAUAGCAGUGCACCUUUUCUCUGUUGCCUUCUGAAACCUGUCAAUUGUUUGCUAAAAGCCACGUCGUUGAGCAUGCUGGGGUUUUGCCAUUGUUCCUAUACUUCUGACUCCCCAAAGUGUGGCAGUAUUUAGCUCCAGGGCUUUUUCUGUGUCUCGAUUUUUACAGGUUUCCUUUUUAGGCUAAGGUUCUGUCAGCCAGAAAUCAAGAUUUCUGUAGUGCAAUUUUAAAACUGUAUUCUUGCACCCGUGUGUUUAUGCUCGACAGCACUGCCCACCCAUUCACGCACAGGAUUAAGAACACCAACUCAGUGCAUGUUUCAGAAACUGUUUGCUUCCUUCCCCUAGCAGCUGCUCCAUUGCUUAUACUGAUCUUGUAAUCCUUCCUGGGCAUUGCACAAAUGAAAUCUGCGUCUUUUCUUCUCUUGCUUUCUAUCUACUCUAAUUAAUUUUUUGCAUGAAAGUAAGAUUUUCAAGGGGAGAACAAGAGACCUAACUAUUUUGCAUGAGAUAUUUUGUGAGGAAAAAGCAUAGAAGAAAUGUUGUGCAACAAAGACAGACUAUUGCUGUAGUUUUGUUCCCUACUGCCCAGGAACCUGCCCUCCUCUUUUCUGCCAAAUAACAUGGAGAACCAGAGAAAUCAGAAUGAGAGAACUCAGAGGAAAACUCAGAAGAGCGAAGAGGACAACAGAAGGUAUAACCUCCACAGGCUGAGCCACAGAGAGAAAAAAAAUGAGAAGCACACACUGAAGUGACUUAGCCAAGUAUUAAAAACCAAACAAAUCCUAUCACCUGGAGAGGAAGCAGCUCCCUGUUUGUUACCAAACUUCCAAGAGGAAGCUACAAUUAAGAUUUAAAAACCAAUAAAAACGCAGUGAAGAUGGAGGUGCAGAACAUUUACAAGAUUAACUGCAGACCGUUUCAUUAUGGAGUGUGACACUACAACAAUUCAUUCUCAUGGAAUUCAGAUAACUGCAGGCAAAAAAGGCAAAAGCUUUAAUAAAGGAAUAGUUCUACUGCAACAAAGGAAAUGAGCAAGAAGAGAGAUGAGGACACAUCCUAAGUCCACUAAUGGCGGUGGGAAUUUGCCUUCAUCUUCAGUGGGAACAUAUUUUCAAAGACAUGGGAAUCAUCCAUACAAACGGGAGGAUAAAAUCUGAACCUUCUGUGGUCUAUGACACAAACCAGAAGAUGGCCCCAGCACAGUGGAAACGUGCCCAGCAGGAGUUUCACAGCCAGGCUUGACCACAGUCCUAUGUGUGGUGCCGGCUGCUGGGAUGGACGUCAUCACGGCCGCAGGCACAGGCAGUGUCUGUGGUAGAGCCCUCCCUGAGGCCGGGCCAGGCAGGAACCAGGCAGAGAUGCAUCCCUCUGGUGAACACUGACCCUCUUGCUGAUUAUGGGUUUACCUUCAAUGCCCUACAUUUGGGAAGAGGAGCAGCGUGGACAGCAGGAAUCUUCCCCAGGGAGAUUCAAAAUCUUCUUCAAGGGCCAAAAACUCUUCCUGGGUACAUGCUGCCUGCUGAAUGGCGCAAAAAGCCAAAGCAGGAAAGUCCAGAUGAAGGAACCUCAUGAUCUCAAGCACCUUUUCUUUUGGUACUGGCACUACACAGCAAAGUAGACAUUAAAAUAACAGAGUUGCCACUCUUCUGCUAGCAGAAGCAUUCAUCUCCCUCUCAUCCCUUUGAUCUACUCCUUCUUCCACUCCCAGGAUUGCACUACGUCAACUCUCUGUGUGAUAGUGUGCACACCAGGACCUUGUUGUACUCUUGAAGAAUUUUCUAAGUUUGUGAGUCCAGUUCUCAGGAGCUCUUUAGCAAAGUUCUUAUGUUGCCAGCAUCACUCCCUCGGAAGAAACUGGUAAAAGGUUGAAAAUGAUGUGUUUGCCAAGUGCUGAACAGCCUUGAAAACUGGAUCUGAUGUGCUCAAGAUUUUCUCAGGAGAAAGUUGUCUCUGCAGAUGCCCCCAGACUCUGCCAAAUGAUUGGCUUUCUAUCCAGUUCCGUCAUUUACUUCUGUUACAUGUUUUAGACAUCCAUUUUUCCAUCUUAAAACAUCCAAGAUUGUCCAUCUUUACACAUCCAUUAUUUCAUCUGAACUUCAAUUCCAUGUUUUUUUGUCUGCAGGCUUAUAAAAAAAAAAAGAAAACAAAAAAACACACUUGGACUGGAAGGAAAGCACAUGUAUCAGAACAGACUUUUGGAUUUGUUUUACUUUGAACACACACAGCAUCAUGUCCUCAGUGGCUUAAUACCGAAGAGCACUUUAGAAAGUCAUUUGUAUGGACUUAUGAACAUGCCUCAUAUAAAAAGAAAGGUACAACUUAAGAGCUCUAAUACUGUAAAGAAAUCCACUUAAAAGUGAAGAAAUACAGGAAUGUCUUUAAUCACCCACUGGAUAGUCCUUCAUUUAGUGUACAAGAUCUUCAGCAUUCUCGGAUAAUGGAUAGGAGCGUUUUGCUGGUUUUUAAUUCUUUUUAUUAAAUGUAUAGUCUUCUGUUCUACUUAUUCCUCAUUAGCCAGCUCCUUCCCAGGAACUAACUCCAUCCUGGAGGUUGACAUGUUUAGCAUCCGUGAAGCAUUAUGGUUCUCACAUUUGGGCUAGGAUUACCCUGGCUUUAUGCGAAGGUUUUACCAAGCAGCAAAGCUUUUCUUAAAAACCAAUGAAAUGCUUUUUUACUCUAAGUACAUCAUUUGGUUUCAGCCAGGCAGUUUCCUGAUAGUAGUAUAACAGAGUGUCUUUUCAGAAUCCCAGUAGGUGGAAGCUUGGUUUGAGAACACACUGGGACAUUUGGUAGCACUGAUAUUUUACGUCUCAAUUGUUAACAAUUCUUGAAAGUAUAAGAAGUAUUUAAAGGCCAGGUGGUUCAGGAAGCUGGCGGUGGAUUACGAGGCAGCAAAAUGUGGGAUAACAAAAAAGGUAAAGAGAGUUGUCUGCUGCAGCUUGCCUUUUGAAACAGGACAGAUGGGAACAACUCAUGCACACAAACAUGAUGAGCACAGCACAGAGCGGUGGAGUGCCUGCCCCUUCCUAAAACAGGAUCAUACCUAAGGAAACAGCCUAGGGGUGAGGACGCAGGAUUGACAUCUUGCCUGAAACAACAGGAUUAUCUUGUUUCAUCUCUGCCAUCAGGCAUAAGGAAUGAAAGAUCCUGAGCCCAAAGGACAGCAAAUAAUUGCUCCCCAGACAAGAUGGACUGCUUCCUCAAGAGGUGUUGUAAAGGAAAAGUUUCUCUCCAUUCAGUGCAGUGACGUUCGUCCUUGUCAGGAUGACAGUCUGUUCCCAGGACCACCAAGCAAAAACACAGCUGAAUGAACAGUGUCAUAGGCUUUUCAUGGCAUCGCAGCCCCGAAGGAAGCACUGAUUCUCCAGCCUGACCUUUUGCCCACUGUGGGUGAUAGAACUGACCAAGUGACUGCUGCGUAAUUUCUGCGGGACCUACAAUACCUCCUUUGGAAAAAAAAUUACCUUCUCUGUUUAAAGAUUUCACAUGACAGCAACACUUCACAAGCCUUUUUUAAACCAGAAAUGUCUCUUAUCUCAGCUUUCAAAAACUGCAUCUUUUAAAAGGUUUGUCUGCUAAACUGGAGAUUGCUAUGGUGACAACUAUUCUCCUUACUGAGGUGAUUUCACAUUCUUUAGCUCUUGUGUGAUUCAGUGAUGGGCUAGAGAUAAGGGUUUUAAAGUCUCUUCGGUAAGGGCAGUUUCUAGGUACGUCUGUUUAGCCACUUCCUGUUUGCCAGCCUUUGCACAGAUAGCAGACCAAGACGUACUGUUCCACCAGUAGAAUCCUUACUUAGUGCAUACAUGGUGCUCCCCACGUUUGUACAACCAAGGACUGCAUUUCUGUGUGCUCUUAAAUGCCUGUCUGUAUUGCUACUCUUCAUAUCACAGUCCUCCAUCAGAUAACUGAUCUACUUAUUUCUUUCCUAGAAAUAUCAGCUUGUAAUUAACUGUAUUAGUUUGCACGUUGUUCACAUUAGCUUAUCUUCCUUAAAAUUCUGUUAACACUACAGAAUCUAUCCUUAUUAUGUAUCACUUGACAACUUCUAUCUGCUAUGUAAAUAUUAGCUUAUAAAUUUUGAAACUAAUAAAUGCUUCUUAUUAAUGCUUCCAAGUAGAAAAUGUUCCUGAGUCUUUUUUGCAGUUGAAAAUGUAAAGUAUCUACUAAGAGCCAAACAGCAAAAUAGCCACAUACUGAAAUAUAGCAAAAUAGAAGCAUAAUUAUACAAUAUACUAUGCUUAAUUGUUGAUAAUAUGUGUUGAUUCCAUGGAGUUAAGAGAGAUCUACAAGGGGAAAAACACUUGAGGUAUUCUAGUCCAUUACAAAAUAGUCCCAUUAUUUCUAAAAUAACAUCUAUAAAUCAAUUUGCAUCAAUUUUGGAAAAGGAGAAAACUCUUAGAUGUAAUCUACACAAGCAGAGAAACAAGCAAAGCUAUUUGCUAUAUUCAGCUUUGUUUAUUACAGAGAAAAUAUUACCAUAGAGCACAAGCAUGCUUAAUAUAAAAUAUCAGAAAAUCACAAUCUCUCUGUCAUGUAAGGAGUCACACUCUAAUAAACUCUUCCUUCUUCAGUAUGUGGAGGAAUAUUUUAUUAGGGUACCCCAAGCUAAGUGUAAUUGCCACCAGUAGAAAAAUUCUUCUGCAUCAAGGACCAAAUCCCCCAAGAAACAGAAGAUUUUCUACAUGCCCACAAAGUCAAUUAAAUAUUGUCAUUAAUUGCCUUUUUUCCCCCUUUUUUCUCUUUCUCGUUUUUUUCUCUUUCUCCUCUUUUUGU